rnacentral:rRNA from 1 species
UACGAAGGGGGCUAGCGUUGCUCGGAAUUACUGGGCGUAAAGCGCACGUAGGCGGCUUCUUAAGUCGGAGGUGAAAUCCUGGAGCUCAACUCCAGAACUGCCUUCGAUACUGGGAAGCUCGAGUCCGGGAGAGGUGAGUGGAACUGCGAGUGUAGAGGUGAAAUUCGUAGAUAUUCGCAAGAACACCAGUGGCGAAGGCGGCUCACUGGCCCGGUACUGACGCUGAGGUGCGAAAGCGUGGGGAGCAAACAGG